rnacentral:rRNA from 1 species
GACCUCUGAGCUCAAAUCAGGUAGGACUACCCGCUGAACUUAAGCAUACA